rnacentral:rRNA from 1 species
AUUUUAUUGAAACUGUACAAAUUAAUGACACCAAAUUCAGAAAUUGACAGCAAAUGGCACUUUAAGAAAUCAACAACAAAUUCCACAACAUGUGCUGCUGCUACUACCAGAAGUAUGCCACCCUGCUACCACAACAACAACAUAUUCAGUCCAUCUGCGCUGAACCACGCAUGCCAGCCUGCUGCCUUUUUUCUGAUGGUUCUUCACUUCAGUUCAGGACAUGUACAGGAUAUGCCAUGCUAGGCGAGCUUGCCAGGGAGCACGAGGUGGACCGCGUUCUGCAUGUCGCGGGUGCGUGAGCGUGGCGCGCCCGGUGUACUGCGCCAGCCGCGACACCUCCGUGGCCAGCCUCUUCUUGGUCCCGUCGAUGGCCUCGUCCUUGUAUGCGUAGGGCUCCUCCUGCGUGUCCUGGCUCUGCAGCAACUCUAGCAUCUUGCUGGCGCCUCUCUUGCGUUGUUGUUUCCCCGUCGAAGGCCAGCGACACCGCCGUGUAUCCGGAGGCACGGAGGGGGGCGUUGAAGAGGAUCCAGGAAGCGACGGAGGCCGCUAGCAGCAGCGCGCUCAGGUCCGCCCGGCCACGGCGCCACAGCACGUCGGAGCCGGCAAAUUGAGCGCUUUGCAGAGAAGGGGAUCCCUUUCCUCUUGAUCUCCCCUCCCCUCCCCCCUCGUCGGAAUCAGGUAACGAGGACGAAGAAAGGCGGCGAGAUGAAGGGGAGAAGGCAGCCGGCGCGCGGCGAGGCGACGGAGCAGGUGGCCGGGGGAGAGGAUGUCGCCAUCGCCGUUGCAAAAUCGAGGAGGAGAGGAUGGGGGGACGCGGUGCGGGUUGUGUCGUUUGUCG